rnacentral:rRNA from 1 species
UACGUAGGGACCAAGCGUUGUUCGGAUUUAUUGGGUUUAAAGGGUGCGUAGGCGGAUUAAUAAGUCAGUGGUGAAAGCCCAUCGCUUAACGAUGGAAUUGCCAUUGAUACUGUUAGUCUUGAGUAUGGUUGAGGUGGGCGGAAUGUGUCAUGUAGCGGUGAAAUGCUUAGAUAUGACACAGAACACCAAUUGCGAAGGCAGCUCGCUAAACCAUAACUGACGCUGAGGCACGAAAGCGUGGGGAGCAAACAGG